CGGGUAUACAUCCAAAAGAAAGGAAAUCAGUAUGUCACAGAGGUAUCUGCACUUCCGUGUUUAUGGCAGCACUAUUCACAAUAGCCAAGAUAUGGAAUCAAGGCUGGUUAAUUGGUACAAAAAUACAGUUAUAGAGAAGAUAUAAAUUCUAGUGUUUGAUGGCACAGUAGGGUGACUAUCAUUAACAAUUUAUUGCAUAUUUAAAAAUAGCUGAAAGAGAAGAUUUGGAGUAUUCCCAGAACAAAGAAAUAAUUUUUAAGGUGAUGGAUAUCCCCAUUACCCUGAUUUGAUCAGUAUACGUUGAUGCAUGUAUUAAAAUAUCACAUGUACCCCAUAAACAUGUACCAUUAUUAUGUAUCAAUAAAAAGUCAAUUUAAAACUUUUUUUUAACUAACAUUUGAAAAUUUGCCAAUCUUUUUUUUUUCUUACUGAUGUCUGAGAUUUGGUUCUUGUUCAGGAAGGUUUUUUUUUCACCUCAAGAACUACAGAUAUACUUUCUAAAGUUUUCUUUUAAUACUUUUUAAUAGUUUUCCUUCUGUUGAUACUGCUAGUUUCUUUUUGUUCUAAUAUGAGGUAGGGUUGCCUAGUCCUUUCUCCACUGACUUGACAUAUCAUUUUAACAGAUACUAAAUUCUCAGAUAUCUGUGACUUUCUGGACUAUUUGUUUUCAUUGAUUCAUUUGCCUUUUUCUGUGCCACCAUCACAUUGUUUUAGUUACUGUAGCUUUAUGAUAUUUUGAUCAACAUUUUUUUUCUUGAUUGAGUACUUUGCCAUGAAAUUUAGAAACUAGAGAUUAAAUGUAAUUAUAAAAUGACAGUCUCACUUCUCCAUUGCUGCCUAAUGGCUGAUAAGCAAGAUAGAGCAUAUUUGAAGGCCAAAAAACAACCUGUUGAAUUUUUAAAUGAUAGCUUGUGAACAUGCUUAUUUGUCUUGAUUUUAUUAAUCACCAAAUUAGUAAAUUGUGUCUGUAACAGAGUAAUUUCCCAAAGCUAAUUGUUAUUACGUGUUAUUUCUUAAACAUUCUUUUAAUGUAACAGGACUCUUAUAGCAAAUAAUAAAGCAAUUAAAUUAUCAGGUGAA
rnacentral:lncRNA from 1 species